GAAUAAUACUACUGGCCAGAUAAAAAUAUAUGAUAGUAAGCAAUAAGAAAUACAGAAAAGAAAGGGGAGAAGUGUUGAAGCAUUUGAAAUAAGACGUAUUAAGUCACAAACUGGGACCCAAAGCUGUGUUUCCUACAGGAAUGCCAAAACCUAGCCAUGGACACUAAACUCCAUUUUGUACUUCAAGAUCCCAGCAUAUCAACUGCCAGAAAGUCUUUUUCUCUGGAAGAUCCAACUCCUUCAUCCAAGAAGCACUUUGGUAAAUGUUCCAGGGUUUCACCAGUAAAAUCUACUGCUGCAUCUGGUACACACCCUACAAGGUCACAGUUGGUCAAAUUCAGAGCUGGGGUAAGUGGAAUUCAAUUGCAUUUGUGCCUACUGCUGGCUAGUGUUAAAUUUGGUCCUAUAACUAUCAUCGACUUUUUGGGUCCUUUUAAAAUGUAGCCUCUUAAAGGGAUUUUUACACUGUUUUGAUUUAAUUGUGGUUUUAAUUAUUCUAAGGUUCAGGUAAGGUGCUUAGAAAUUAAUUACCAGAUUAGCCACUUUAGGAAUAAAAUGUUUCUUAUUUCAGUUGACAUCUGAUGUUAGCAUAAGAGAUGAUGUUGACAGACCAAGCACAUUGUCCUAAUCAGCUAUCUCUUUGGGAUAAAAGGCUAGCUCUUUGGGAUAAAAAUAAAUAAAAUUAAAUUACUUUUUCAUUUUUUUUUUACUGGUUUUAAUACAAAUUUCUGGUAGUUAGUGCUCACAAAAAAUGCCAGACAAUCAGACCAGUCAGCAGAGACAAAUGAAGUUGCCCCAAUCUCCACCACCUGCCUCAAACUUGGCUUGAAAGGAUGACCUCUUGGGAUUGAUAGGGUAAUUCAGUCUCCAUGCUCAGUCAAAUCUUUGGUCUUUCAGCAGAGACUGCCAAUGAGGCUGUCAAAUUAGUGCUUAGUGAGGUGGUGUUUUUGUGAUGUGGCUGCCUCUCAUAUAAGUCAGCAAACCUAUUUCAUAUAGGCUAUCAAAGAGCCGCUAUCAGCAUGGGCUGGAUUCAAACUAGCCACCUAGAGGUGAAUGAAUCAAUAUCCAAUUACCAAUUCCUGGAGACAUCUAGUCCCUCUCUGCUAAGUUUGUUUUAAAUAGGAACAAAAUGCCAAGAUAUUACCAUGAGACAAGAAUGCCAUCAUUGCUCUUUAGCAGGCUUUUAUAUUUUUUGUUAUAUUUUAUAUUGUUUUACCUCAUUUUAAUAUAUCUAAACAGCCUACUACUAUUGCUCACAGUCAAAAUAGCUGGAGUGGCUGGAAGAAACGGAAGAGCAACUACAGUAUUUCAUGUGUUAUUUUAAAAUAUAGCAAUAGCAUUGUGACAGGCUGAAGUAGCUCUACCUGAGCUCUGGCAGACUCCCCUUCAGGCAAGUGGUGAGACAGUCAGCCAGGCUCAGGAGUUCAGAGUUAAAUCAGGAAUUGCCAUGAUAACAUGUCUGUGAUACACAAGAGAGUGUGAGUGUUUGUCUAAGGAGGAGGCAGAAAACCACACCCAUUAGUUUGAAGGGGUAGAUUGUCUUGGAAUCAGAGCUGGGCCUUUUCCUUUUGAUUUCAACUUGAGAAGGCUUGAGGAGAAUAUGAGUGCCCCAUCUGUGUAGGUGUCUGCUGACCCACUGCUUCUGCACCUAGUGGUUGAUGAGGGAAUCCCAACUAUUCCCAGGGCCUCAGAAGUUCCAUCCUGGGAGCUCUUACUCUGCUUCUGUUGGGCGGUGAAGCUGGAAAAAAGGGAGUUUCUGGAGCCUCUGCAAGGGGAUGUCUCCAAGGAUUACUGUAUUGUAAUAGCACUGAUCAGAACUAAGGUUAGAAAUGUUCUGUUUUAAAAUAAGAGUAAACAACCAGCAAGCAUGACUGAUGCCCCUACCUAUGGAACUCUUGAUCAACGAGGUCAGGAUGAACUCAAGGUGCAUCAAUUGUAAAGUACACUGCAAAGCCCAUCUUUGUGGGAAAGCUUUCCCCUGUAACAAUGGCUGAAGUCCCACUGAACUACAUACAUGAAGAAGGGAAGGGAGAAAAAUAAAAUCCCCCCGUAUAAGAAACAGUUGGCAAAAUUUAGGAGCAGUGGGAAAACUGAAGUCCUCUGUGGAUAAAAUGCAGGUGUUAUUUUUUUUUAUUUAGUGUCUAUCAUAUUUAUUGCAGUGAUGGGUGCUUUCUAAGUGACUAACAUAGGUAAAUGCUUUGAGGGGGCUGAGAGGAGGAGAUGUUUCUGCAGAUAACACAAUACAACAGUGUAGAUAAAGCCAGUAAUUCAAAACUGCCUGUUUAUUUUGUAUAAAUACAUGGAUCUGAGUCAUAAUUUCAUGUCCUGUACAGGUUCCUGCCCCCAAGCUUAGUCAGAGGGCGCCCUCCUUCUUAUUUUAACUCUAGUAGUUUCUCCUACCAUUUGGGCUGCUCCUCCUUUACUGCCAAAAUGGGUUUGUGCCGAUGGAGCAACUUUGCCAUACCACUCCCACAGCUCCUCUUCCCUCCCUUCCCUGUUAUACCUGCCCACCAUCACCAAGGUAACAUUCAGUUUCA